AGCGAACGCUGGCGGCAGGCCUAACACAUGCAAGUCGAACGAACUCUUCGGAGUUAGUGGCGGACGGGUGAGUAACACGUGGGAACGUGCCUUUAGGUUCGGAAUAACUCAGGGAAACUUGUGCUAAUACCGAAUGUGCCCUUCGGGGAAAGAUUAUCGCCUUUAGAGCGGCCCGCGUCUGAUUAGCUAGUUGGUGAGGUAAAGGCUCACCAAGGCGACGAUCAGUAGCUGGUCUGAGAGGAUGAUCAGCCACAUUGGGACUGAGACACGGCCCAAACUCCUACGGGAGGCAGCAGUGGGGAAUCUUGCGCAAUGGGCGAAAGCCUGACGCAGCCAUGCCGCGUGAAUGAUGAAGGUCUUAGGAUUGUAAAAUUCUUUCACCGGGGACGAUAAUGACGGUACCCGGAGAAGAAGCCCCGGCUAACUUCGUGCCAGCAGCCGCGGUAAU
rnacentral:rRNA from 1 species